GAGUUUGAUUCUGGCUCAGGACAAACGCUGGCGGCGUGCAUAACACAUGCAAGUCGAACGAAAUCUACAUGAUUUAGUGGCGAACGGGUGAGUAACACGUGAGAAACCUGCCUUACACAGAGGGAUAGCCGUUGGAAACGACGAUUAAUACCUCAUGACACCGUGACAUCGCAUGAUGAUGCGGUCAAAGAUUAAUCGGUGUAAGAUGGUCUCGCGCCUGAUUAGCUGGUUGGUGGGGUAACGGCCUACCAAGGCGACGAUCAGUAGCCGAUCUGAGAGGGUGGACGGCCACAUUGGGACUGAGACACGGCCCAAACUCCUACGGGAGGCAGCAGUGGGGAAUUUUGCACAAUGGGGGAAACCCUGAUGCAGCGACGCCGCGUGAACGAAGAAGGCCUUUCGGGUUGUAAAGUUUCUGUCCUUGGUGAAGAUAAUGACCGNAACCAAGAGAAGCC
rnacentral:rRNA from 1 species